rnacentral:rRNA from 1 species
AUGCAAGUCGAGCGAACAGACGAGGAGCUUGCUCCUUUGACGUUAGCGGAGGACGGGUGAGUAACACGUGGGUAACCUACCUAUAAGACUGGGAUAACUUCGGGAAACCGGAGCUAAUACCGGAUAAUAUUUCGAACCGCAUGGUUCGAUAGUGAAAGAUGGCUUUGCUAUCACUUAUAGAUGGACCUGCGCCGUAUUAGCUAGUUGGUAAGGUAACGGCUUACCAAGGCAACGAUACGUAGCCGACCUGAGAGGGUGAUCGGCCACACUGGAACUGAGACACGGUCCAGACUCCUACGGGAGGCAGCAGUAGGGAAUCUUCCGCAAUGGGCGAAAGCCUGACGGAGCAACGCCGCGUGAGUGAUGAAGGUCUUCGGAUCGUAAAACUCUGUUAUUAGGGAAGAACAAACGUGUAAGUAACUGUGCACGUCUUGACGGUACCUAAUCAGAAAGCCACGGCUAACUACGUGCCAGCAGCCGCGGUAAUACGUAGGUGGCAAGCGUUAUCCGGAAUUAUUGGGCGUAAAGCGCGCGUAGGCGGUUUUUUAAGUCUGAUGUGAAAGCCCACGGCUCAACCGUGGAGGGUCAUUGGAAACUGGAAAACUUGAGUGCAGAAGAGGAAAGUGGAAUUCCAUGUGUAGCGGUGAAAUGCGCAGAGAUAUGGAGGAACACCAGUGGCGAAAGGCGACUUUCUGGUCUGUAACUGACGCUGAUGUGCGAAAGCGUGGGGAUCAAACAGGAUUAGAUACCCUGGUAGUCCACGCCGUAAACGAUGAGUGCUAAGUGUUAGGGGGUUUCCGCCCCUUAGUGCUGCAGCUAACGCAUUAAGCACUCCGCCUGGGGAGUACGACCGCAAGGUUGAAACUCAAAGGAAUUGACGGGGACCCGCACAAGCGGUGGAGCAUGUGGUUUAAUAAGAAGCAACGCGAAGAACCUUACCAAAUCUUGACAAGCGUACCCUUCUAGAGAUAGAAGUUUCCCCUUCGGGGGACAAAGUGACAGGUGG